rnacentral:lncRNA from 1 species
GGGCACUACGGCAACGCCGCCGUGUGGAUGUCGCUGAUCCUGGGCCAGCCCGUGGCCGUGCUCAUGUACGUGCACGACUACUACGUGCUCAACUACGAGGGAUAACCCGGGAUAACUGACCCAGGAUAACCCGGGAUAAACCCGGGAUAAACCUGGGAUAAACCUGGGAUAAACCUGGGAUAAACCCCAACCCCACCCAGAGCCCCCCAGCCCGUGGCCGUGCUCAUGUACGUGCACGACUACUACGUGCUCAACUACGAGGGAUAACCCGGGAUAAACCUGGAUAACCCGGGAUAAACCUGGGAUAAACCUGGGAUAACUGAUCCAGGAUAACCCGGGAUAAACCCGGGAUAAACCUGGGAUAAACCCCAAACCCACCCAGAGCCCCCCAGCCCGUGGCCGUGCUCAUGUACGUGCACGACUGCUACGUGCUCAACUACGAGGGAUGAAAUCUGACCCGGGAUAAACCCAGGAUAAACCUGGAUAACCUGGGAUAAACCGGGAUAAACCUGGAAUAACCCGGGAUAAACCCCCAACCCACCCAGAGCCCCCCAGCCCGUGGCCGUGCUCAUGGACGUGCACGACUGCUACAUGCUCAACUACGAGGGAUGAACCGGGAUAAACCCGGGAUAACUGACCCGGGAUAACCCGGGAUAAACCCGGGAUAACCCAGGAUAAGCUCCCAGGGCACCCCCAAAUCCACCGAGGCACCCCAAAAACCAACCAGGGGUCUGGGGUCCCCAAAUCCCACCAAGGGCGCCCCCAGAAAUCCCGGGGUCCCCCCAAAGCUCUGGAGGGGUCUGGGGUCCCCCAAAUCCCACCCAAAAAUCCACCCAGGACAAACCCG